UAUUUAGAAAGUUUGCCCAAUGGCAUAAACGAUUAAAUAUAUAAAUGUAGGCUGGUUUCGGCGAUGUACAUCACUAGUGCUUUUGAUCCAAUGAAGCA
rnacentral:lncRNA from 1 species